rnacentral:rRNA from 1 species
AAUAUUGGACAAUGGGCGAAAGCGUGAUCCAGCCAUGCCGCGAGUGUUAAGAAGGUCUUUGGAUUAUAAGGCACUUUAAGUUGGGAGGAAUGGUCGUAGGUUAAUAUCCUGCAAUAUUGACUGUACCGACAGACUAAGCACUGGCUAACUUCGUGCCAUCAGCCGAGGUAAUACGUAGGGUGCAAGCGUUAAUCGGAAUUACUGGGAGUAAAGGGAGCGUAGGUGGUUUGUUAAGUUGGAAGUGAAAGCCCCGGGCUCAACCUGGGAACUGCUUUCAAAACUGGCAAGCUAGAGUAUGGCAGGGGGUGGUGGAAUUUCCGGUGUAGCGGGGAAAUGCGUAGAUAUAGGAAGGAACACCAGUGGCGAAGGCGACCACCUGGGCUAAUACUGACACUGAGGUGCGAAAGCGUGGGGAGCAAACAGG